rnacentral:rRNA from 1 species
AGAGUUUGAUCCUGGCUCAGGAUGAACGCUGGCGGCGUGCCUAACACAUGCAAGUCGAACGGAGUUACUUUAGUGAAGUUUUCGGAUGGAUCUGAUUUAACUUAGUGGCGGACGGGUGAGUAAUGCGUGAGCAACCUGCCCUUCAGAGGGGGACAACAGUUGGAAACGACUGCUAAUACCGCAUAAUGUAUCCGGGAGGCAUCUCCUGGAUACCAAAGGAGAAAUCCGCUGAUGGAUGGGCUCACGUCUGAUUAGCUAGUUGGUGAGGUAACGGCUCACCAAGGCUGCGAUCAGUAGCCGGACUGAGAGGUUGAACGGCCACAUUGGGACUGAGAUACGGCCCAGACUCCUACGGGAGGCAGCAGUGGGGAAUAUUGGGCAAUGGGCGAAAGCCUGACCCAGCAACGCCGCGUGAAGGAAGAAGGCCUUCGGGUUGUAAACUUCUUUUAAGAGGGACGAAGAAGUGACGGUACCUCUUGAAUAAGCCACGGCUAACUACGUGCCAGCAGCCGCGGUAAUACGUAGGUGGCGAGCGUUAUCCGGAUUUACUGGGUGUAAAGGGCGCGUAGGCGGGAAUGCAAGUCAGAUGUGAAAUCCAGGGGCUCAACCCUUGAACUGCAUUUGAAACUGUAUUUCUUGAGUGUCGGAGAGGUUGACGGAAUUCCUAGUGUAGCGGUGAAAUGCGUAGAUAUUAGGAGGAACACCAGUGGCGAAGGCGGUCAACUGGACGAUAACUGACGCUGAGGCGCGAAAGCGUGGGGAGCAAACAGGAUUAGAUACCCUGGUAGUCCACGCCGUAAACGAUG